rnacentral:rRNA from 1 species
AGUGAACGCUGGCGGUAGGCCUAACACAUGCAAGUCGAACGGCAGCACAGUAAGAGCUUGCUCUUACGGGUGGCGAGUGGCGGACGGGUGAGGAAUACAUCGGAAUCUACUUUUUCGUGGGGGAUAACGUAGGGAAACUUACGCUAAUACCGCAUACGACCUACGGGUGAAAGCAGGGGAUCUUCGGACCCUGCGCGAUUGAAUGAGCCGAUGUCGGAUUAGCUAGUUGGCGGGGUAAAGGCCCACCAAGGCGACGAUCCGUAGCUGGUCUGAGAGGAUGAUCAGCCACACUGGAACUGAGACACGGUCCAGACUCCUACGGGAGGCAGCAGUGGGGAAUAUUGGGCAAUGGGCGCAAGCCUGAUCCAGCCAUACCGCGUGGGUGAAGAAGGCCCUCGGGUUGUAAAGCCCUUUUGUUGGGAAAGAAAAGCAGCAGGUUAAUACCCCGCUGUUCUGACGGUACCCAAAGAAUAAGCACCGGCUAACUUCGUG